rnacentral:rRNA from 1 species
GAUGAACGCUGGCGGCGUGCCUAAUACGUGCAAGUCGAGCGAACGGACGAGAAGCUUGCUUCUCUGAUGUUAGCGGCGGACGGGUGAGUAACACGUGGAUAACCUACCUAUAAGACUGGGAUAACUUCGGGAAACCGGAGCUAAUACCGGAUAAUAUUUUGAACCGCAUGGUUCAAAAGUGAAAGACGGUCUUGCUGUCACUUAUAGAUGGAUCCGCGCUGCAUUAGCUAGUUGGUAAGGUAACGGCUUACCAAGGCAACGAUGCAUAGCCGACCUGAGAGGGUGAUCGGCCACACUGGAACUGAGACACGGUCCAGACUCCUACGGGAGGCAGCAGUAGGGGAUCUUCCGCAAUGGGCGAAAGCCUGACGGAGCAACGCCGCGUGAGUGAUGAAGGUCUUCGGAUCGUAAAACUCUGUUAUUAGGGAAGAACAUAUGUGUAAGUAACUGUGCACAUCUUGACGGUACCUAAUCAGAAAGCCACGGCUAACUACGUG